rnacentral:rRNA from 1 species
GCCAGCAGCCAUAUCACCCUGCAACUCACAACUGGGAUCCCACUAAAGCUAAGCAGGUGUGAGCCUAGUCAGUACCUGGAUGUGAGACCUCCUGGGAAAAACUAAGGCUGCUGCUGGAA